GAUGAACGCUGGCGGCGUGCCUAAUACAUGCAAGUCGAGCGAACAGACGAGGAGCUUGCUCCUCUGACGUUAGCGGCGGACGGGUGAGUAACACGUGGAUAACCUACCUAUAAGACUGGGAUAACUUCGGGAAACCGGAGCUAAUACCGGAUAAUAUUUUGAACCGCAUGGUUCAAUAGUGAAAGACGGUUUUGCUGUCACUUAUAGAUGGAUCCGCGCUGCAUUAGCUAGUUGGUAAGGUAACGGCUUACCAAGGCAACGAUGCGUAGCCGACCUGAGAGGGUGAUCGGCCACACUGGAACUGAGACACGGUCCAGACUCCUACGGGAGGCAGCAGUAGGGAAUCUUCCGCAAUGGGCGAAAGCCUGACGGAGCAACGCCGCGUGAGUGAUGAAGGUCCUCGGAUCGUAAAACUCUGUUAUUAGGGAAGAACAAAUGUGUAAGUAACUAUGCACGUCUUGACGGUACCUAAUCAGAAAGCCACGGCUAACUACGUG
rnacentral:rRNA from 1 species